AUUUUAAUAAUAUGUUUUCCUCUUAAACAUCAAUUACCAAAAUCUCGUUUCUCUUCAACUGUAAAUCUAAAUAAAUUUGUCCAACUAGUUUGGAGACAAUAGGAUACUUAUUGUUGUAACUUGUAAAUCUCAACUCUCACGUAAAAAUACUCAUAUGACUUAGCGUAUAGUUACAGCAAAAUCUAGAAGGCUUAAACUCAAGGUCAACAAGCAGUGAAGACAAAGACAUGUUAAACAAAACAAAACAUAUAUUAACUACAGAUAAAGCAAAUCAAGAUCAGCUUUAACAUCUCGGACAACAAGCAAAUGAUAGUUCCUAUAAUACGCAAACAUAAAUGAACCACCAAAGACUCGUCCAAACAAGAAUCAUUGUUUGGAUUCUGUAAAAAGUUAUCUUCUUUAAGUCUUAAACGAAUACUUUAGAUCAGAAGUGAUCAAAGCUUCUUAAAAAAGAAGUGAUUCUAAGAAAGGUGGAAGCAUUUUUGCAUCACUAUAGGUGUUGCUUCACACAUUAAUGGACCAAUGAUUGAAGUGAAGAUCAAAGCCUAUCAUAUGUA
rnacentral:lncRNA from 1 species